rnacentral:rRNA from 1 species
UACGUAGGUGGCAAGCGUUGUCCGGAAUUAUUGGGCGUAAAGAGCUCGUAGGCGGUCUGUCGCGUCGGCUGUGAAAUCCCGAGGCUCAACCUCGGGUCUGCAGUCGAUACGGGCAAACUAGAGUAUUGCAGGGGAGACUGGAAUUCCUGGUGUAGCAGUGAAAUGCGUAGAUAUCAGGAGGAAUACCGAUGGCGAAGGCAGGUCUCUGGGCUGAUACUGACGCUCAUGCACGAAAGCGUGGGGAGCAAACAGG